ACUUGUGGAACUACCUAAAAUUCUCAAUACAAGAAUUAAUUUGAGAUUGAUGAUGCUAGAAGUACAAGAAAACUCACAAACCACUUACUAGUUUGAAAACCAGUUUCCACUGAGUUAAAAAGUUAAAAAAAAUUCAUUCAUUCCACUUUUUUUUUCUCACCUCUUCAGCUGUUGCUUUUUUCUUCUCUUAAACAAAACAAAGUGAUCAUGUGCUCUCCACCAAAUCCAAUAUGCAUGAGU
rnacentral:lncRNA from 1 species